rnacentral:lncRNA from 1 species
UAUAUUAAAAUAUAUUAAUACAUUCGUUCGAAAUAUAUGUACUAUUAUCGAUACAACAAAGCGUGACUUGUAAUGUUAUGAUUAUCUAUUGUGGAAAGAGCACAUUUCCAUUUCGACCGUCGUGCUGUUUAGAUGUGUCGACGAACGAUCAAACAUAUUUCGUAUAUAAUUUAAAAUCGUGCAUGAAUUUUCGCAUAUAAAAUAUAUUUUUUAUUCGUGAGUGUAUAUAUAUGUUUUAUUCGUGAAAUAUUGUGUUUCUACGUUUCAUUAUUGGAAUACACCUGUGAAUAGAUAGAAAGCCUUUGAAAUAUCAAGUGAUGUUAUCUACAAAUGAUGCGUUGAACGAAUCGAGACGGGUAGCAAUCGAAGGGAAGAGAAGAGGAGGAGAAGAGGAGGAGGAGGAGGAGAAGGCGGCCGGUGAUUUUUUUUUCACGAGAGAGGUGUAUAUAAAAACUGUGUAACGACAGCGAAUCUGAAAAAUCGCGAAUCUUUCUCGACGAUGGUACUCAGAGAGGUGAAGGCAUGAAGAUUCAGCAGUUGUUAUCGGUUUGCGAGAACGAAAGGGAGCGAUACCUGUUGCAUACGUCAGGGAUUCUUUUCGCGCAACGAGCGAUUCUUUUGAGAAACGCCUGUGACACGAGGUUACGCGAUCGUGGUUAUUACGAUCGCGACGACGUGCAUGAAGGAAGAGUGGAUGCAAGAGUGGCUAAGGAGAAGAGGAGAGGUGUCAAAGAAAUAUAUGGUCAAACUUUGUAUUCUUCGUAUUCUUCUACUGUUUUUUUUUUUUUUAAGAAAGAGUGUCUUAUAAACAUAUCUUUAUUUCUUUUUUUUUUAAUCCAAGGAAAUUGCUGUAUCCAGAAUGUCAAGGAAAUAAAGUGGGUAAACUAUUGGUUAUUAUAUUUCUAAGGAAAGAAAAAGUUGCGAAUAUGGGUUGCGAAAAUUGUUUCUUUAUUAUAACGAAGUUUCGUAAGAAUGUUUAAAAUUUAUUUAAAUUGCUAGCGUAGGAAAAUAUCAAAUGUUAUUACAAAUCAUACUUACGGAAUGUUUUUCCAUAAAUAGAAAUUUAAAAAAUUCAA